rnacentral:lncRNA from 1 species
AGCAAUAUAAGCAAGAAUAAGAUAUAAUAUAUCGUUAAAAGAGGGGGGGAAGUCAAUUGAUGAAAACAUUCCAUAACCCUAACCUUUAACCCAUUCGACCCCAAGAUGGAGAAAUGACAUACAACUGGAAAGAAAAAGAUGAAGAAGAUCAAUACCAAGAAAACACAGUUAGAGAAAAACAUUUAACCAAUAAAGUCAGUGAUAAGAAAAGAAAAUGUUGGAUUUGGAUAAAAACUGUUUUGUUAUUUUAUUAAUUUACUUAGGGUCCAUUUGACACAAAUCUGAUGCUUGUGCUGUGAGGAAAAAGAUAAAAUGCUUUAAAAAUGACUUCUGGAAAAACAACUUUAAGUGGAAAAUAGUUUUGGCUGUACAAUUCUGUGAAUGUUAUAUUUUUUUUUUUUUUGGAGAUCAUGAUCAGGUUAAAUUUCAAAUCAUAUUCAUGUAAUCUUCUUUAUGAAUCAUGAAAAACUAAUCAGUGAUUCUUCAUCAUUUUAUCAUACAAUAAGAAAAGUAGAUAUAGGAUGUGAACGUUGCAGAACUCAGCUAGCAAAUAUUACCUCUUCCAUUAACUUGCCUCCAAUUCAUGUCGCAAACAUGAUUCCCCGGAAACUCAGCUGAGACUAGAAUCCUUUUCCUCUUUAAGGUCCAAAUUCCUAAGAUAUACUGCAAUCUGUAUUCCUCCAUCUGGAAUACUAAUUCUCAAUGAAGAACCUGUUCUGACAUCAUAUCAUCCAGAUAAGCACAAGAAAUUAUCAACAUCCAUUUGCUAUAACGAACAAGAAGCUAGUUUGUCCAGCCUUCCAGAAAAAGUCCUUUAGAAAAUUCUUAAUAAAAUAAACAUGAAAAACAAGGAGAGGCAUGAUCUCCUCCAUUGUAUGAUACGGAGUCUGUAUAUGCUAUUGAUAACAUAAUCAAAUGCACGUUUAUUUGGGUUUACUAUGGUAUGAAAGUCUGUGUCCUCUAUUCUUCUAGCUCUGCUGUGGAUCAUACUUCAAUUGAUAGGCAGCAUAAAAGUCAUUCCUGGUAUGAAUCUUUCCUUCCACUUGUCUAUGUAGUC